UACGUAGGUGGCAAGCGUUGUCCGGAAUUACUGGGCGUAAAGAGCGCGCAGGCGGCUGGUCAAGUCCGAUGUGAAAGCUCCCGGCUUAACUGGGAAAUUGCAUCGGAAACUGAUCGGCUUGAAGGUGGGAGAGGGUAGUGGAAUUCCCGGGUGUAGUGGUGAAAUGCGUAGAUAUCGGGAGGAACACCAGUGGCGAAGGCGACUACCUGGCCCACUCUUGACGCUGAGGCGCGAAAGCUAGGGGAGCAACGGGG
rnacentral:rRNA from 1 species